GGUGGUAAUAGCAUAGAGGUCUAAUGCAGUUGAUUGUGAUUCAAAAGACCGUAGGUUCAAAUCCUAUUUACCGCC
rnacentral:tRNA from 1 species